AAAAGCAGAUGAUGUUAAAAUUCUUAUCCUACACACUGAAUUGUUAUGUAGACUACAUCUCCGCUUAUUAUCUGAUGCUUUC
rnacentral:snoRNA from 1 species